rnacentral:rRNA from 1 species
GGGUCAGUAGGUUGGUCGUGCCACCGGUACGUACUGGUCUCACUGAUUCCUCCUUCCUGAAGAACCGUAAUGCCAUUAAUUUUGUGUUGCGGGGAAAAAGGACUGUUACUUUGAAAAAAUUAGAGUGUUUAAAGCAAGCUAACGCUUGAAUACAUUAGCAUGGAAUAAUGAAAUAGGACGAUCGAUCCUAUUUUGUUGGUUUCUAGGAUUGACGUA